rnacentral:misc_RNA from 1 species
GAUAAGAACGCAGCGAAAUGCGAUACUUGGUGUGAAUUGCAGAAUCCCGUGAACCAUCGAGUCUUUGAACGCAAGUUGCGCCCGAAGCCAUUAGGCCGAGGGCACGCCUGCCUGGGCGUCACACGUCGUUGCCCCCCCAUCUACUCCUUCGGGAUUGCGGGGGGCGGAUGAUGGCCUCCCGUGCGCCUCGUCGCGCGGUUGGCAUAAAUGCCAAGUCCUCGGCGACGCACGCCACGACAAUCGGUGGUUGCGAAACCUCGGUUGCCCGUCGUGUGCGGUCGUCGCGCAUCGAGGGCUCGAAAAAAUUGCCGGGCUCCGGCUCGGCUUUCAACGCGACCCCAGGUCAGGCGGGGUUACCCGCUGAAUUUAAGCAUAUCAAUAAGCGGAGGA